rnacentral:rRNA from 1 species
AGGAGGCAGCAGUGAGGAAUCUUGCGCAAUGGGCGAAAGCCUGACGCAGCGACGCCGCGUGGGUGAUGAAGGCCUUCGGGUCGUAAAGCCCUGUCAAGAGGGACGAAUCCUCGUCGACCUAACAUGUCGACGACCUGACGGUACCUCUGAAGGAAGCACCGGCUAACUCCGUGCCAGCAGCCGCGGUAAUACGGAGGGUGCGAGCGUUGUUCGGAAUUGCUGGGCGUAAAGCGCGUGUAGGCGGCCUCCUCAGUCUGGUGUGAAAGCCCGGGGCUCACCCCCGGAAGUGCAUUGGAUACUGGGAGGCUGGAGUACCGGAGAGGAGGGUGGAAUUCCUGGUGUAGCGGUGAAAUGCGUAGAUAUCAGGAGGAACACCGGUGGCGAAGGCGGCCCUCUGGACGGAUACUGACGCUGAGACGCGAAAGCGUGGGGAGCAAACAGGCUUAGAUACCCGUGUAGUCCU